AAAACAUGGCUCUUUGUAGAAAUAAAAUAAAGAGUCGGACCUGCCCGGUGAAAAGAUUUAACGGCCGCGGUACCCUGACCGUGCAAAGGUAGCAUAAUCAUUUGCCUUUUAAUUAAAGGCUGGUAUGAAUGGUUUGACGAAAACAGUGCUGUCUCUUAUUUAUUAAUUAAAAAUUAAUUUUGAUGUGAAGAAGCAUUAAUUGUUUUAAAAGACAAGAAGACCCUAUUGAGCUUUAGUAUCAACAAAAGAGAAGUGUAUUUAUUAGAAAAUUGUUGUUUUGGAAGUACUUUAGUUGGGGCGACUGAGGAACAUAGGAACUUCCUUUAUAGUAAUAGUAGAUUUAUUUAUGUUGAUCCGGCAUAUGUUGAUUGAAAGAUCUAGUUACCAUAGGGAUAACAGCGUAAUCUUUUUUGAGAGUUCUUAUCGAAAAAAAGGUUUGCGACCUCGAUGUUGGAUUAAGGUUUCCAGUUGGUGUAGCAGCUUUAUUUGGUUGGUCUGUUCGACCAUUAAAACUUUACGUGAUCUGAGUUCA
rnacentral:rRNA from 1 species